CCUACGGGAGGCAGCAGUGGGGAAUAUUGGACAAUGGGCGAAAGCCUGAUCCAGCAAUGCCGCGUGAGUGAUGAAGGCCUUAGGGUUGUAAAGCUCUUUUACCAGGGAUGAUAAUGACAGUACCUGGAGAAUAAGCUCCGGCUAACUCCGUGCCAGCAGCCGCGGUAAUACGGAGGGAGCUAGCGUUGUUCGGAAUUACUGGGCGUAAAGCGUACGUAGGCGGUUAUUCAAGUCAGAGGUGAAAGCCUGGAGCUCAACUCCAGAACUGCCUUUGAAACUAGAUAGCUAGAAUCUUGGAGAGGUGAGUGGAAUUCCGAGUGUAGAGGUGAAAUUCGUAGAUAUUCGGAAGAACACCAGUGGCGAAGGCGACUCACUGGACAAGUAUUGACGCUGAGGUACGAAAGCGUGGGGAGCAAACAGGAUUAGAUACCCUGGUAGUCCACGCCGUAAACGAUGAUAACUAGCUGUUCGGGCUCUACGAGCUUGAGUGGCGCAGCUAACGCAUUAAGUUAUCCGCCUGGGGAGUACGGUCGCAAGNUUAAAACUCAAAUGAAUUGACGGCUGAGAGNGCGAGACGACACGAGGGAGAGG
rnacentral:rRNA from 1 species